UACGGAGGGUGCAAACGUUGCUCGGAAUUAUUGGGCGUAAAGCGCACGUAGGCGGACCAUCAAGUCGGUUGUGAAAUCCCUCGGCUUAACCGAGGACGUGCAUUCGAAACUGAUGGUCUUGAGUACGAAAGAGGGUCGCGGAAUUCCCGGUGUAGAGGUGAAAUUCGUAGAUAUCGGGAGGAACACCAGUGGCGAAGGCGGCGACCUGGGUCGAUACUGACGCUGAGGUGCGAAAGCGUGGGGAGCAAACAGG
rnacentral:rRNA from 1 species